AGGAGACAAGAAGGGAAAUGUUGGACUGAUGGUCGGUCUGACAGUUUUUGCUGUGCUUCUUGUUGCUGUUGUUGGAACGAUGCUCUUUAAAAAACGCAGAGGAAAAACACCUCUCACAGGAGGAGAGACAGUCGCCCUAAAAUCACCAACAUCAGGCUGACAGAUCCAGGUCACACAGCUGGACACAAGGAUGAACCACUGACGGAGGGAACAAGGAGAAACACUGAUGUUUCGGUGGGAGCAGCCAAACUGAAAUAGAGACAGCUGUGGCUCAGAAGGAACGGAAAAGUUUAGCUGGGUAAUGCCAAAUAUAUUGUGUUGUGUUGGUUGUAGCUCACAACUUCUCGUCAAGUCUCAGUGUUGAAGGGAGCGGUUUUGUGUUUCGUGAGAAUUGUUUCCAAAUAAGUCUGCUAUUGAACAAGACUGUGGUCCAGUCCGCAUGGACACCGGUUCACCGGUUUAAAAUCUUCACCCUGGCAGGAGUUUGCAAAAGUGUUCGCUUUCAGUGACCUGGUACUGCGUUUCUAUGUGGAUGAAUGGCCAAACUGCGUUUUUACCCUGUAUACACCCGUGUUCCCGUACAGAGAGCCUGUGUGAGCGCUAUGUCUGUAAAUGCAAAGUUGAUCUCUCUCUCUGUCUACUCAGAACUUUGUAUGUUUAUACAUCAAUACUAUAUCUGUAUCAAUACUAUGUACUGAUUAAAAAUGUGACUAGUUCUUUAUUGUGGACGUGUUUACAUUUGCUGACGUUGUCUCAAAAGCCUGGAACGAAGGUACGCUGCAGAUUAUAACUCUGGUUUCUGUAGUAUAAUCCACAGCACAUUGUACCUGAACAGUGAACUGUUUCUGUGCACUGUUGACACACACGGUCAUAUCUUUGACUUAAAACACAAUAUUUCACAGUAUGAAACUGCUACUGUUACUAAAGUCACAAUUAUUCACUAAAUGUAACCACUUGCCAUAAUGUUGGCAGAUAAAUCUGUAUCAAUGCUUCAUGUUGUAAAAUAUUAAUCUGCGGAGUAACAUUAAUACCCUGUACAUGAUUUAUUUUAUUUCACAAUGUUUUUUUUAUAUUUCAAUGUAAAUGUCUGUUUUCUUGCCAAUAAAGCUUCACUGAAUUAACC